GCAUUGUUGGGGUAGUGGUAACCUGGAUCGUUGCCACUCAGUCUCGAUCCGCCCCGGGUUCGAUUCCCGGACAAUGCA